rnacentral:rRNA from 1 species
UACGUAGGGUGCGAGCGUUGUCCGGAUUUAUUGGGCGUAAAGAGCUCGUAGGCGGUUUCGUAAGUCGGAUGUGAAAACUCAGGGCUCAACCCGGAGACGCCAUCCGAUACUGCGAUGACUUGAGUCUGGUAGGGGAACACGGAAUUCCUGGUGUAGCGGUGAAAUGCGCAGAUAUCAGGAGGAACACCGAUGGCGAAGGCAGUGUUCUGGGCCAGUACUGACGCUGAGGAGCGAAAGCGUGGGGAGCAAACAGG